rnacentral:rRNA from 1 species
UACGUAGGGUGCAAGCGUUGUCCGGAAUUAUUGGGCGUAAAGAGCUCGUAGGCGGUCUGUCGCGUCGGCUGUGAAAACUCGGGGCUCAACUCCGAGCUUGCAGUCGAUACGGGCAGGCUAGAGUUCGGCAGGGGAGACUGGAAUUCCUGGUGUAGCGGUGAAAUGCGCAGAUAUCGGGAAGAACACCCGUGGCGAAGGCGGCACUCUGGGACGGUACUGACGCUGAGACGCGAAAGCGUGGGGAGCGAACGAGGA